rnacentral:rRNA from 1 species
UACGAAGGGGGCUAGCGUUGCUCGGAAUCACUGGGCGUAAAGGGCGCGUAGGCGGACUUUUUAAGUCAGGGGUGAAAUCCUGAGGCUCAACCUCAGAACUGCCUUUGAUACUGAGGGUCUCGAGACCGGUAGAGGUAAGUGGAACUGCGAGUGUAGAGGUGAAAUUCGUAGAUAUUCGCAAGAACACCAGUGGCGAAGGCGGCUUACUGGACCGGUUCUGACGCUGAGGCGCGAAAGCGGUGGGGAGCGAACAGG